CAGUAGCCGCGGUAAUACGGAGGGUGCAAGCGUUAAUCGGAAUUACUGGGCGUAAAGCGCACGCAGGCGGUUUGUUAAGUCAGAUGUGAAAUCCCCGAGCUUAACUUGGGAACUGCAUUUGAAACUGGCAAGCUAGAGUCUUGUAGAGGGGGGUAGAAUUCCAGGUGUAGCGGUGAAAUGCGUAGAGAUCUGGAGGAAUACCGGUGGCGAAGGCGGCCCCCUGGACAAAGACUGACGCUCAGGUGCGAAAGCGUGGGGAGCAAACAGGAUUAGAUACCCCUGUAGUCCCUGUCUCUUAUAU
rnacentral:rRNA from 1 species